rfam:Gossypium arboreum cultivar AKA8401 contig_17849_5, whole genome shotgun sequence.
UCUUAAAAGUUUCAUUUAUUUAUACAGUUAAAAAUUGAUGUGACUAAUAAAAUACACGUGGCAUGCCAAAUGUACUUUAUGCUAACGUACAAUGAGCAGUUUUUAACAAUAAAGAUGAAUAGAAUUUUUAACA